UACAGAGGGGGCGAGCGUUGUUCGGAAUACUGGGCGUAAAGGGCGCGUAGGCGGCCUUCUAAGUCGAACGUGAAAUCCCCGGGCUCAACCCGGGAACUGCGUCCGAUACUGGGAGGCUUGAAUCCGGGAGAGGGAUGUGGAAUUCCAGGUGUAGCGGUGAAAUGCGUAGAUAUCUGGAGGAACACCGGGUGGCGAAGGCGGCAUCCUGGACCGGUAUUGACGCUGAGGCGCGAAAGCCAGGGGGAGCAAACGGGG
rnacentral:rRNA from 1 species